GGAAUAUUGCGCAAUGGGGGAAACCCUGACGCAGCAACGCCGCGUGGAGGAUGAAGGCCUUCGGGUCGUAAACUCCUGUCAGGUGGGAAGAAUAGGCUACGGCAAACAACCGUAGCCGUUGACGGUAACACCAGAGGAAGCCCCGGCUAACUCCGUGCCAGCAGCCGCGGUAAUACGGAGGGGGCAAGCGUUAUUCGGAAUCAUUGGGCGUAAAGGGCGCGUAGGCGGCUUGGCAAGUCAAAGGUGAAAUCCCUCGGCUCAACCGAGGAACUGCCUUUGAAACUGCUUGGCUUGAGGCCGGGAGAGGGUAGCGGAAUUCCCAGUGUAGCGGUGAUAUGCGUAGAUAUUGGGAGGAACACCAGUGGCGAAAGCGGCUACCUGGACCGGUACUGACGCUGAGGCGCGAAAGCGUGGGGAGCAAAC
rnacentral:rRNA from 1 species